UCUUAUAGCAGAUACUAAACUGAGAAGAAACCUUGUGCAGGUUCUUCGAGGAACUUCCAAUGUAUAGUUGCUAAAUGUCCGAAAACAUGCUAAUAAACGUGUUACGCUGGUACGAUCAGCAAAAACAGAAAAACACGUUUAUCUCACCCAAGUGACUCCUGUGGCAGAGGAGUUUUUUGAAGUACGAGUAACAAGGUGUGGUGAAAGCAGACAUGACAAGGUGCCAAAACACCCCUCACUCAUCAUCCUAACACAAGCAACACUGAGCAGAGCUGUGAUUAACAGGUCCCACAGAGAUACUGAAGUGACUUUGAAUGAAGAACCUGAGGGCUGAGCGUUGAUGUUGGUAGGUCUCGCGAGACUCUACAAUAUCGUAUGACUUCUAAAAAGUCCUACAACAAGCCCAGAGAGCCUUGAUUCGGCAGCCGUCGAACACCGCCGAGUUAAAACGGGACAGAGAGCGAGACAGACAGAGAGAGAGCGACAGGCUUGAGACGUACGUUUGGCAGGAACAAGGACAACACAUGACAGCCAUCAAGAAGACAAAAAGAUAUUUCAGAGAAUCUUGUCAGAAAAUAGUCGAGUCGUCUGUUUGUUGUUAGAACCACGUUCGCGGUUCAAAAUUGCAUCGUGGAGAGGUAACUGCGGUCAAUGAUUGUUUUGCCAAGGACAAGCAAACAUCUACCAUCUGAGUGUUUCACAUCAUUUAAAUUAUCCUGAUGCCUGGAGGCAAGAAUUUCAAAUGGCUGAAAAAGUGAACGUCGUCUUAUUACUUCAUUAUUGAUAGCGUUGAGUGUUUUAACUCGAAGAGACCUACUGUUGGCCUGCUGAAAGAACGUGAACGGCAUAUGUUUGGAAGCUGGUGCUCUCAUCAGGCUUUUGAGAAUCUUUAAGUAGAGCUGGUGGUGAAUAGCAUUGCUAAGCAAACCAGUAAAAACCAGCUUGAUGAUGCCACAUUGUCAGCCAUAUUGGA